UGGAGACUGACCUGGAGCUCUGCCACACAGCUUUGCCAUUAGAGAGAAUCUCUUGCUGAGGGUGAGUUUGGGUCAGUGGUAAAGUUGCUCAAAGUUCUUGAUGCCAAAACCACCCUCAGUUGCCCUGAAGUAAAACCUUAAUCUUUAAAGACCUGAUGAAAUCACGUCAGAAGGGACACUUCUCCAUAGCCUGGAGCCCACCUAUGGAGCCUCCAGCCCCCUGUGGUCUCUGCAGAGGGUGGUGCUGCUGCUGCACUGCCUGGGAGCCGUCCCUCCCACGAUGUGGUGGCUGAGCACUCAAAGCCAAUUGCCUUGGAUAAUCCCGGUGAAGGGCUCAAUCCACACCUCGGCUGGAGCUGCCGCAGUUUUGAGGAGCCGGCGCUGUGCUGCUCACACGAUGGCGCCCCAUGAGGUGACAGAAAUGCCAUUGGCUAAUGAGUGCGAGCUGUACAAUGCAGGCGGCCACUUGUGGAGGAGAGCAAUUAAGAAUCGAUCAGAAGUCAUUUCACAGCAGUGGCCUCAGCACAGCUGUCUCCCAUCACACAGCUCUUGCUCCAUUUCUUAUGCCGGGGGCUCAGACUGAAGCAGCAGCUGAUGUCAGGUUUGGGAUGAUUUUUACUUUUCUGUGGAUAACAACCAAGGAAGAGAAAUUUCCAAAGCUUGUCAAGUGUUGUUAGCCUAGAACCUGAAGUCAGCAACGAACAAAAACCCGAGUCAUCGAGAUUUGGCAGCUUGCUGGAGCUGGGAAUGACAAGUCGUGCAUUUUCAAGCUGAAGAGUUUUGGACAUGGGAAAUCUUGGUCCUGUUAAUCAUCCUUCUCCACACCUUUUCCAGCUUGGCUUGAUUGUCUUUAAACUGAGAGUAAUCAGAAUUGCAUCUCACAUUCAACAUAUUGGUAUUGCAUAGGUUGAUGCAUUGCACACUACAGCUUCUCAAAAUUUAGAGCAGAGAUUAAUUUGUUAUUGCAAAGAUUAUGUAAAGGCAUGACCCAUGUCCCAUUGAUGCAAAUAUCAGAACUCCAUAGACUUCAAUGAAACCAGAAGUGGAUUUGGAGGUUGCUGAUAAGAAUUAGGAAAAAAAUCAUCGUUAAAAUCUGAAAACAGUCAUGCAGGACAAAGCAAGGUAAGAGGAUGGAUAAUGCUCAAAGAAAACGAAAGUUGCUGUAAAUCCUACAUUUAUCUUCUCCAUGUAGGUAAGUAUUAACAAGAAAAGUUAUCUGUAAAAUUACCUACAUUGUGCCUUUGCAUGCAAAAAACCCGUCUAAAUCUGCAGUAGAUGCAAUGGCACCCUUCCAUAGCCUACAGCUUCAAGAUUUGUUUAUAUUUGAUGGAAUAACCAUUCAGAUGUUGUUCAUUUUUAAUGCUGUUUUAUAAACUGUAAUGAGCAAUCAUAGUAAUAAAAUGAGGAUAUAUGAAAAAACAAAUGUCCAUGCUAACCAUAAACCCAGACUAUAUCUGCAGUAUUUAGGUGAGAGCUUAUUCCCAUUUAUUUGUUCCCGAUACACUUGAAUGCUUUUUACAAUGAACAGCACAACAACUGCAGUCCACGAUGACAGACUGGCCUCCAGGUUUGGCCCUUUAUCUAGGAUAGGAAUGAAAUCUGCUGAAAUGCAUCUGGCUUGUUUGUUAGCAGAAGAGCUCCUAAAUGAGGUUUCUGUUACCAGCACAAUGUGGAGGGGUAAGAGGGAAAAGGAAAAGAGGUACAGGAAAGGAUGUGUGAACAGAGUACAUAAAGGUGGCUUCAGGCUGUACCUGGUGUAGUUAAUGGAUAGUACAAGGAAAGGUACUGGGAAAAUUGACCUCAGAAGAAGUCAGUCUCUGUGAUAUGGAGUGUAAGCUCAGCAGGAUCAUUAUGGGCCUAAAAGACCAAGCUUUUCUAGCCAACAAGGCAAGCCUAAGAGCAUGUGAAAGGGGCUGUCAGCAUCUAAGUCAGUCUAACGAGCAGUUGCCUUCCAGAGCAAGGCUUAGAAAGCCUGUCAGAGAGGGAGCCUGAUGACAUUGGUCUCAAGUGGAAAACACAUGGCAAUACUGCACCAAAGAAAAGUGACAUCUCCUUCCACCACGGGAUAAUAAAGACAGUCUUUGCCAUGGACCUACACCUUAAGAGAGGGUCGUCAGCACUUGGAGGACUGAACCAGCACAGGGUAGUGCAGGCAUUUGAACUUCUCUCCAUUGAUUUCCACUUAAUGGAAUUUAUUUUUUUCAAAGAUGACACAAAAUGUCUUUGGUCUUGUUGAGCAUAUUUAUUUUGCUGAGAAUGGAUUGGUGGUGAACUCUUCCUUCUCCACUUUUCCUCGGCAAGCUAGAAACUCUAUAAAUAGACAGCCUUUCCUUCAUUCUUUUCUAUACUUCCCUUGUACAGGUAAAGUUAUAUAACCGGGGCAUGGAGCAUGUUCUAUACAAAAUCUAAUUUUGCAGAAUUGUCCCUGUUGAUGUGGUUUCCCUAUGAAACAUCUACCUCCGUGAGGGUGGGAAGUGUUGCCGAACAGGUUUUCGUAUUCUUAUUGCCUUCUCUGGAUACUUUUUGGUAAUUUCUUAUGUGACUGAUUAAAGCAAGUUGCUAUUCAAUGUCUCAUUGUACAGUACAAAGGGGAUAUUACCUGUUCUAGUGAGAAAGCUGUACUGGGAAAUUUAAAUCAGGCUGGAAGAGAAAUCAAUGCAUAUUUUCAACUUGGUCCCUCUGUCAGACCUUAUCUGUCAUUAUUACUCACAUUUAAACUGCAGAGGCAUUUUUUUGCAGCCACUUAGCUGAGUGCACCUUAGUAGUCUCCAUGGCCUUACCUCAGUAGCCUCGCCAGCCAGGUUGUGUGGGAUGGGAUUCUGUCACGUCUCCUCUGGCAAGAGCAGCUGUACUGCUGGGAAAGGGGUCUUCAGGAGCUUCCUGUCCUAUCAACCUGAUCCAAACGUGAGGAGAGGUUGGCCUAGGAGUUUCAGCACCCACCUUGGGCAUUUUGAGCCUGAGCUGGGAAGACACGGGUGAGUGGGAUGCAAUGCUGUGAGAGCGUCCCAGUGCUGUGAGGGGCAGCUAUGAGGGGGUCCCAGU